UGGGGAAUAUUGCACAAUGGAGGAAACUCUGAUGCAGCGACGCCGCGUGAGUGAAGAAGGUCUUCGGAUCGUAAAACUCUGUCCUUGGUGAAGAAAAAAUGACGGUAGCCAAGGAGGAAGCCCCGGCUAACUACGUGCCAGCAGCCGCGGUAAUACGUAGGGGGCGAGCGUUGUCCGGAUUUACUGGGCGUAAAGGGUGAGUAGGCGGUUAUAUAUGUCAGAUGUAAAAGGCUAUGGCUUAACCAUAGUUGGCAUUUGAAACUGUAUGACUUGAGUGCAGGAGAGGUAAGUGGAAUUCCUAGUGUAGCGGUGAAAUGCGUAGAUAUUAGGAGGAACACCAGUGGCGAAGGCGACUUACUGGACUGUAACUGACGCUGAGUCACGAAAGCGUGGGUAGCGAACAGGAUUAGAUACCCUGGUAGUCCACGCUGUAAACGAUGAGUGCUAGGUGUUGGCCAGCGAUGGUCAGUGCCGAAGUAAACACAAUAAGCACUCCGCCUGGGGAGUACGUACGCAAGUAUG
rnacentral:rRNA from 1 species